rnacentral:rRNA from 1 species
GACGUAGGGCGCGAGCGUUGUCCGGAUUUAUUGGGCGUAAAGAGCUCGUAGGCGGCUUGUUGCGUCGAUUGUGAAAACCCGCGGCUUAACUGCGGGCUUGCAGUUGAUACGGGCAGGCUAGAGUUCGGUAGGGGAGACUGGAAUUCCUGGUGUAGCGGUGAAAUGCGCAGAUAUCAGGAGGAACACCGGUGGCGAAGGCGGGUCUCUGGGCCGAAACUGACGCUGAGGAGCGAAAGCGUGGGUAGCAAACAGG